GUUCCUCUCCUUGUCGUUGAUAUUUGACAGUUUGAUUAUAAUAUAUGUUUGUAUAUUCCUGUUUGGAAUUAAUCUGAUAGAAGACUUUUGACUUUUCUACAGUUGGAGGGAUUCUCCAAGCCGAUUGCAUGAAAGAGAAGAAACACAGCAGCCAACAUUUACUAUCCUUCCACUUCCUGUCUGGUUCCCUUUGAUUGCAGCCUCUGUGAGAUCACUGGGGAAAUGCCAGCCUAUGGAAGAGAACCUCUGAGUCUCCUGGUGCCGAAACCCAAAACUUACUUGCAUCUACAUGUGAAUCAGAUUUUCCCCUGGGCAGCAUGGGGCAAAUCCCACUGUGCUUUGGGUUCCUCCAUCUUUCUCUUUAUCAGGUAGAAAACACUUAACUCUCUCCUGCAUAUUUAACUUCUCUUUGUCCACUCACGCCUUGCUUCAUUUAUAUGUACUCAAGUCUUUCUCAUCUAAGGCAUGAAACAAAGCAGACCACAAAACAAACAUC